CUCCUGCCCAGAUCACCGAAGAAACAGGAUGUAAGCUGCUCCACUGAAAAAGGACAGCUUGAGAAUCCAGGUGUAAGUAUGGGUUUGGAGAGAUGGUUGCUUGUGAAGUGCUUACCACACAAAAUGAGUACUUGAAUUCAGAUCCCCGGCACUAACACAGGUACUGGAUAUGCAGCUUUUGUCUGUAACACUGGAGAGAGAGAGACAGGAGGACCCUGGAGCUCACUGGUCAGCCUAUCUAGUCAAAUUAUUGAACCCCAGGUUCAGGAAAAGACCUUGUCUCAAAAAAAAAAUAGAGACAAACUGGGAAACAUAUCUGUUAUUGGCCUCUCACCUCCACAUAUGCCUGAACACACAUGUGCACACACGCACACACACACACACACACACACACACACACACACAUCAUCAUCAUCAUACACAUACAAACAAUCAAUAUGACUCAAUGUCUGCAAUUGGCCAGAAAGCCCCUGAAAUGUGCCUGUCUCUACCUCCUCAGUACUGGGCUGACAAUAGUGCCACCACAACUACAUUUUUAUAUGGGUUCUUGGGAUUGAACUCAGGUCUUUGUACUUGUGUAAAAAGCACUUUACUGACCGACCAAUCUACCCAGCCCCUUUCAGUUUUAAAACACAGACUAUGCUUACAAACCCAUCAAUUAUAAUAAUGGAAGAAAAUCCCUACCCUUGGUAAGUCACUUUUACGUUGUAAUCGUAGGGCAAAUGGAUGAAAGCAGUGCUUGUAGUAGCAUAAAAGCACUAAAUCUAGAGGCUUUCUUAAGUCAAAGAGAUUAGUCAGUGCUUCAUUCCUGGCUUCUCUUAGAUGACAUUUGAGGCGAAAGACUCAGGUAAGCCCUUUAAGGUUUAGUACUGUAAAUGGAGGAGAAAUCUAAUGGUUUUAAUAAAAUGCACAAUAGACAAGGAGAAGAGAGAAUGCCAUUUUUAUUGCUUCAAUUAAAAUGGAGAGAGGAGAAAAGGAAAUCCCUUAAUUGUGAUUUUCUUAUGAAACAUUCCACAGAGAGACAUUAGUCACAGUGCUUGUAUAGAGAUUACAAUUGGCAAGCUUAUGGAUUAUCUGCAUUAACACCAGGAAUUAAAAUGAAUGGCUGUUAGCUUUAUGGAUUAGAUUUGCAGGUUUGCUGUCUUGCUAGCACAGAAAUAACUUUGUUUCUUAAAACUGACCACUGUACUGGGUGAUGUCUGCAGAGGGCCGGGUCCUGAUGGAGGAUCCUUCUUG